AGUGAACGCUGGCGGUAGGCCUAACACAUGCAAGUCGAACGGCAGCACAGUAAGAGCUUGCUCUUACGGGUGGCGAGUGGCGGACGGGUGAGGAAUACAUCGGAAUCUACUUUUUCGUGGGGGAUAACGUAGGGAAACUUACGCUAAUACCGCAUACGACCUACGGGUGAAAGCAGGGGAUCUUCGGACCUUGCGCGAUUGAAUGAGCCGAUGUCGGAUUAGCUAGUUGGUGGGGUAAAGGCCCACCAAGGCGACGAUCCGUAGCUGGUCUGAGAGGAUGAUCAGCCACACUGGAACUGAGACACGGUCCAGACUCCUACGGGAGGCAGCAGUGGGGAAUAUUGGACAAUGGGCGCAAGCCUGAUCCAGCCAUACCGCGUGGGUGAAGAAGGCCUUCGGGUUGUAAAGCCCUUUUGUUGGGAAAGAAAGGCAGCAGGUUAAUACCCCGCUGUUCUGACGGUACCCAAAGAAUAAGCACCGGCUAACUUCGUG
rnacentral:rRNA from 1 species